AAGCCAAUCCAAACAGACACUCAGAAAUAUGCAGUUGAAGAUUGAUGAGUUAAGUAAACAGAAGCAGCACGGUUCACAAAUAUCCAAUGCUAUAGGAUUUCAACAUUACUAAUCUUGUGCUUUGCAAAACACAUGUACUAGACAAAAUCACAGACCCCCUACAAUAGUCUACUGCAGCACCUUAAACAAAAUAUAGCGUGCUUGCAGAUUUUCAUACACCACGAUGCCUCUCCUCAUCAAGUAGUCCGGAGUGGAGGAGACACCAGAAUCACACCAUCUCCACGAACAAAUAGGAACGGGAUGGUCCGUCUCGUCGCCCGAACUAUCUCUUCAUAUGUUUCAUCAUCAAUCUCAACUGUGGUCACAAUUUCUUCAACAUCACCGAGAAUCAUAUUAAGAUGCUGAUCAUAAGCAUGAAGUUUGCCACGGAGUUCUCUGUCGGAGCGGAGCUUAACGUAGAUUCUCUCGUCGAGACUAAGCCUUAUGAGAUCCAAUGGCUCCUUCACUGUGCUCUCCUCUUCACUUCCCAUGGCGCUUUCUGUCUUUCUCUCUCUAAAAUUUCAAAUGCG
rnacentral:misc_RNA from 1 species